GGUGGCUCAGUGGUAGGAGCGCUUGCCUCGCAUGCAUGAGGGCCUGAGUUCAAUUCUUCAGCACCA
rnacentral:tRNA from 1 species